GGGUCCUUAGCUCAGCUGGUUAGAGCAUCUGUUUUACACACAGAAGGCCGCAGGUUCGAAUCCUGCAGGGCCCACCA
rnacentral:tRNA from 2 species